UAUUAAAUAUAUUAAGUCAAUUGAGCCGAAUCAUUUCUAGUCACUGAACACUACAUUUUACACGCUGUUUUACAACAUUUUACCAGUCUUUGCGGUUGCAUUACACAACCUAUCAUUUGGGACCUACAACAACGAUUAAAGGUUGCACCAGUCCAGUAUCUUCGCACCGCAGUACCACCCAACGGGUUGUACAUGUGAUGUACUGCAAAGAAAAACAAGCUGUGAACAAACUGUACCCUACACUCGCUUUUGUUCCUAUACGUCUUCAUACUAUGUGGAAAACUUUCUCCUAGAAGUGGAUAUACUUACUGUAUACCAACCAUUAUUCUGCGUGUUACUAAGCUAACAAAACCUAAAUAAGUUGUGCUACACCUCUACGAUGAGACCGAAAAAAAGAUGCCUCAGUGGUCAGCAAUACUGUUAUGAAAUGCAAGAACUGGACAUACUUCAAAAGACUAAGCUGUUUUUGGGUAAAAAAAGAGAGAGAGAACCGCAUUAUCAUUUCCAAGUGCUCAAUGAAGAUAUUCCUUAACACUGGAGUACUGCUUAAAGCAUAACACGGAACGAGGUGACCACAGACAAAGAAGAGAUAACUAAGCAAGACAAGACUGUCAAAAUAAUAAAGUUAUGACACAGACUUAAUUCGUCAAGGAUGACAUGUUUUGCACAUCAUCUAAUACUUAUCUGUUCCUUGUGGGAAUGAGAAGGCCAUCUGAACAUUCAAGAUGGAAAAACUGUAUAAAAAGUGGCACUGAACCACUGUAAUUUGUCAGAUAGUUACAUAAGCCGAUCUAUUUGUUACAGGUCUUAGUAGCAGUUUGUUGCUUAUAUUUCUAAACAAUACAGUGUUAUACAAGUUCCACCUCAAUUCAUCUUAUAUUAAAUCAUAUUUAACCUCU